rnacentral:rRNA from 1 species
UCGGGAAUAUUGCGCAAUGGAGGAAACUCUGACGCAGUGACGCCGCGUAUAGGACGAAGGUCUACGGAUUGUAAACUAUUGUCGUUAGGGAAGAGAAAGGACAGUACCUAAGGAGGAAGCUCCGGCUAACUACGUCCCAACGUCCGCGGUAAUACGUAGGGAGCAAGCGUUAUCCGGAUUUAUUGGGUGUAAAGGGUGCGUAGACGGGAAAUUAAGUUAGUUGUGAAAUCCCUCGUCUCAACUGAGGAACUGCAACUAAAACUGGUUUUCUUGAGUGUUGGAGAGGAAAGCGGAAUUCCUAGUGUAGCGGUGAAAUGCGUAGAUAUUAGGAGGAACACCAGUGGCGAAGGCGGCUUUCUGGACAAUAACUGACGUUGAGGCACGAAAGUGUGGGGAGCAAACAGG